rnacentral:rRNA from 1 species
AGAUUGAACGCUGGCGGCAUGCUUUACACAUGCAAGUCGUGCGGCAGCGCGGGGGCAACCCUGGCGGCGAGCGGCGAACGGGUGAGGAAUACAUCGGAACGUACCCCGGAGUGGGGGAUAACCCAGCGAAAGUUGGACUAAUACCGCAUAUGCUCUGAGGAGGAAAGCAGGGGACUUCGCAAGAGGCCUUGCGCUCUGGGAGCGGCCGAUGUCCGAUUAGCUAGUUGGUGGGGUAAUGGCUCACCAAGGCGACGAUCGGUAGCUGGUCUGAGAGGAUGAUCAGCCACACUGGGACUGAGACACGGCCCAGACUCCUACGGGAGGCAGCAGUGGGAAUUUGGACAAGUGGGGCAACCUGAGUCCAGCCAUCGCCGGACGUGGACGGGAAGAGGCCGUUCGGGUGUAAACCGGUCGUUUU